AAUACCCAACCUCUAUCAUAAUAUAUAUGUGUUGUGUGUAAUUUCAUCACUUAUAAUUCUAUAUGUUAAAUGAAUAUUGACUUUGUCAUUUACAUAAUGUUCACGUUUUCUUCAAUUAGAAAAUACAAAUAUGAGCGAAGAUCCUAAUACAAGGAAUCUAUAAAAAAGAAAAAAAAUUUUAACCAUCUACAUGUUAACACAUAUAAUUGAGACAUAUAAUUGAGUUGAUAUGUCUGAUGGACCAUAAAGAUAAUCACUUUGACGACAACGACAACGGUACCUAAUCCCGGUAUAAGCUGGGGUACGGGGGAGAUAUGAUGUAGACAGACCUUACACCUACUCAAUGGUAGAGAGACUGCUUUCAGAUCCACCGAAGUGAAAGGGACCUCCAGCCCAAAAGUGAAAAAUAGGGUUAGAUCCACCGGAGUGGAAGCCUUAACCGGAUGGGGAUAAUAUCAAUAUUAAACUCUCAAUCUCAAGCUCAAUCACAAUUUCCAGGAUAAACUCAGAUCUCAGAACUAAAAUGUUACCGUUAGAGGAGGAGAGAGAGGGAGAGACAGAGAACCCUCCUAAAAGUGUUUCAAAAAGAUAAUCACUUUAUUACCCCAAAACCCGUAAUAAAAACUCAUUUUAACAUUCCAUAUACCGUGAGGUUAAAUCUGCAAAAGACGAAUUUUGUUUUCCCUUUCUUUUAGCUUCCAAUUAGAAUAAGUGGCCUGUUACUAAGGAGGGUCCAACCCGGGAUAAAAUUAUAUGCACAGUAAUCCCAAACACUCGCUAUAAUGUAUAAUCAUUGAUACCUGGUUGCAAAAUUUGUUAGAGAUUUUAAGCCGAAUAAAUUGUCUUUCGUCAUCGUCUUCAUCAUCAUAAUCAUGGUAUCUGUUUCUGAUCAAACUUCCCCUCGCAAGUUUAGAUUGGCCAUUUAUUCAUAUAUGUUUGAACUUGAAAUUGAAAUAUGGUUAAAUAUAAAGUAUUAAGACACCAUCCGAUACACCGAUGCCUAAUUUUCCGCAUUUGAAGCACUUGGAGGUCAAUGCCAGAUUUUGUUGGGAGAGUUUGGAUUGGCCAUUUAUUCAUCAAAUACUAGAAAACUCUCCUGGGUUGGAGCAUUUAUGUAUUAUAAUGCGUUCCUACGAUCAAACAGAUUAUUACUGGAUUGAGCCGCAGUCAGUUCCGACUUGUAUGCUAAACAACCUAAGAACAAUGAAGUUUGCAAAUUUCAGAGGGCAGAAAUCCUGUCUACCAUUUUUGGCAUACUUGUUGGGGAAUGCAAAGGUUUUGACGAUGCUAACAAUCAAGUUUGAUAGCCGCCUACCCUUGGAGGAAAAAAUGCAGUUGAGUGCAGAGUUGUUGAAGAUUCCAAGGGCAUCCAGGUACUGCAAGAUUCAUUUCCUUGGAAGUCGAUCUCUUUCCACCACCGGUUAGUUUUGUAAGGAGGAAUUUAUCAAGAUUAUGUAAUGAACCUGGUUGUGUGGUUUGAUUUACAUGUGUGGAUUGGGUUGACCAAAAAGUAUUUGGGUGUGAGUCCAUACCUAAUAUUUCAGAAAUAUUUAAGGUUAAAGAAUCUAGAUUUGUUUUGUUGUAA